CCUACGGGGGGCAGCAGUGGGGAAUAUUGCACAAUGGGGGAAACCCUGAUGCAGCGACGCCGCGUGAGUGAAGAAGUAAUUCGUUACGUAAAGCUCUAUCAGCAGGGAAGAAAAUGACGGAACCUGACUAAGAAGCCCCGGCUAACUACGUGCCAGCAGCCGCGGUAAUACGUAGGGGGCAAGCGUUAUCCGGAUUUACUGGGUGGAAAGGGAGCGUAGGCGGCAGCGCAAGUCUGGAGUGAAAUGCCGGGGCCCAACCCCGGAACUGCUCUGGAAACUGUGGAGCUGGAGUGCAGGAGAGGUAAGCGGAAUUCCUGGUGUAGCGGUGAAAUGCGUAGAUAUCAGGAGGAACACCGGCGGCGAAGGCGGCUUACUGGACUGUAACUGACGUUGAGGCUCGAAGGCGUGGGGAGCAAACAGGAUUAGAUACCCGAGUAGUC
rnacentral:rRNA from 1 species